AAAGAAACCAACAGGGAUUGCCUUAGUAGCGGCGAGUGAAGCGGCAAAAGCUCAAAUUUGAAAUCUGGCUCUUUCAGAGUCCGAGUUGUAAUUUGAAGAAGGUAUCUUUGGGUCUGGCUCUUGUCUAUGUUUCUUGGAACAGAACGUCACAGAGGGUGAGAAUCCCGUGCGAUGAGAUGAUCCAGGCCUAUGUAAAGUUCCUUCGAAGAGUCGAGUUGUUUGGGAAUGCCAGCUCUAAGUGGGUGGUAAAUUCCAUCUAAAGCUAAAUAUUGGCGAGAGACCGAUAGCGAACAAGUACAGUGAUGGAAAGAUGAAAAGAACUUUGAAAAGAGAGUGAAAAAGUACGUGAAAUUGUUGAAAGGGAAGGGCUUGAGAUCAGACUUGGUAUUUUGUAUGUUACUUCUUCGGGGGUGGCCUCUACAGUUUAUCGGGCCAGCAUCAGUUUGGGCGGUAGGAGAAUUGCGUUGGAAUGUGGCACGGCUUCGGUUGUGUGUUAUAGCCUUUGUCGAUACUGCCAGCCUAGACUGAGGACUGCGGUUAACCUAGG
rnacentral:rRNA from 1 species